CAGGAUGCCCAGUUAAAUUUGACUUUCAGAUAGACAAUGAAAAAUUUUGUAAUAUAAGUAUGUCCCAUGCAANNUAUUUGAGACAUACUUAUGCUAAAUGUUUACUCAUUGUUUAUCUGAAAUACAAAUUUAACUGGCAUUCUGU
rnacentral:miRNA from 10 species